GUCCUGUAAUGUUGUGUUGUCAUUUUAAUGUUAUAUUUCACAUGGCUAUAAAAGAGGGAGGUUUGGCAUGCCACAAAACCAGGUUCAACCCACCAUUUUUGUCUUUAAAAAUGUCCUGUACCAAGUCAGGAAUAUGGCCAUUGUUAUAUUAUAGUUCGUUUCUGUGUGUUUUACAUUUUAACGUUGUGUUUCCGUUGUGUCGUUUGUUUUCUCUUAUAUUUGAGUGUGAAUUCACAUUACUAUAAGACGUGUCACGGUACUUAUCUAUCCCAAAAUUCAUGUAUUUGGUUUUGAUGUUAUAUUUGUUAUUCUCAUAGGAUUUUGUCUAAUGCUUAGUCCGUUUCUGUGUGUGUUACAUUUUAAUGUUGUG
rnacentral:lncRNA from 1 species